GACGAACGCUGGCGGCGUGCCUAAUACAUGCAAGUCGAGCGAACAGACGAGGAGCUUGCUCCUCUGACGUUAGCGGCGGACGGGUGAGUAACACGGGGAUAACCUACCUAUAAGACUGGGAUAAUUUCGGGAAACCGGAGCUAAAACCGGAUAAUAUAUUGAACCGCAUUGUUCAAUAGUGAAAUUCGGUUUUUCUGUCACUUAUAGAUGGAUCCGCGCCGCAUUAGAUAGUUGGUAAGGUAACGGCUUACCAAGGCAACGAUGCGUAGCCGACCUGAGAGGGUGGUCGCCCACACUGGAACUGAGACGGGGUCCAGACUCCUACGAGAGGACGCAGUAGGGAAUCUUACGCAAUGGGGGAGAGCCUGACGUAGCAACGCCGGGUGAGUGAUGAAGGUCUUCGGAUCGUAAAGCUCUGUUAUUAGGGAAGAACAAAUGUGUAAGUAACUAUGCACGUAUUGACGGUACCGAGUCAGAAAGCCACGGCUAACUACGUG
rnacentral:rRNA from 1 species